GCAGUGCGACGUAAGGGUGUGUAAUUAUCCAUAGGAGGGGCAGUGUUUAAGAAGGCGUUCGCUCUCCGAUUCUUUAUAAAACCAGAAUUUUGGCUGAACCAGACGGUGACACGGGCCAGGGCUGCCUCUGUUGCUAGUGCAAGAUCGGUGCCUGCCAGGAGACGUCCAGGGAGUCCAGGUGCCGCUCAUAAUGACCAGGAAAGAUUGUCACUCCUCAUUGGCAGCAGAAGACCCUGCAGAGUGCUGGCAAAACUGUGCAAGUCAACCCACUAGAUCUUUAAAAACAUCCCUCCACUAAAAAAAAAAAAAAAAAAAAAGAAAAAAGAAAAACUUAGACAAGCCACUUGGUGCUGUCACAAUGGGGAGAUUUCAGGUGUUGCUGAGAAAGCUGCAUGCAAGACAUCCCAGUGACUGAUAAGGACUACAGCAAAAUAUUUUGACAUGGUGUGAGAAACCUUCAGGACAUGGCUACAUGAUUUAAAGAAUGAGAAGGGCAGAAGAUAUGGGCUGACCUGAUGCUGAUUUGGCAGACACCUGGCACUUAACAGCAGGACAGAACAGCACCUUUCUGGCAUCAAAGAUACUCACAGCAAGAUGGUUAAAUGCUUUGAUGAAAAACACUAAAUGUAGGUCAAUAUUAUGCAUGUAGUACGUACUUUGCAUAAAUAAAAUACAUCGUAAAAGUGAUAUGGAUGUAUUUGUAAGUUAAUGUACCCAAAGGUAUCAACCUGACAGAUCUGCAUGGCAGCAAGGAUUUUGCCAUGAAUGAGCUCAGCGGAGGAUGUCCUGAUACUGAGGAGGAUGAGGAGAGCGACCAAUUUUCUUCAGUUAAGGUUGCCAGAGAAGACUUCAGCUGGCGGUGAAAGCACUUGACUGUGCUGCUGUUAGCUUAUGGAUGGUAGCCAGAGGUCCUGUAGCGGCAGAUACCAAGGAGAGUCACAACUUUGUUCCAUAUGCUGGAAUCAAGCUGACUGCCAACGGUCAGAGGUGAGGUUUACAGGCACACUAAACCUGGAGAUUCACGUGGCAAUGAAGGUGUAUGCAACAGAGUUAGUGGUUAUGUUUGCCAGGGGUGCAGCCUUAGGCCAGUGUGUGAAAUGGUCCAAUGGUCCACACAGGUCAGCAGGUACUGUAGGUUGCCCACUGAGCCAUAUAUGUAAGGUCAUGUCUCUUAGGGCUGUCACCAUAAGGGGCUUGAAUUAAAGUCUAGGAGACAGACAAACAAACAUUCUAUUCUUAUUCCAGCUACAAUGGACACAGUAAUCCUGGCUUUCUCUAGUGCGUGUCUUUGCGACACAAGUUUGGCUGCAAUAGUAUGUGUGUGUAGGAUACAAGUAUGUGUGUCUCUGUCUGUCCUUCCUAACUAAAUGAUAUUCCUAAACCUUUCCCCCACCAAGUUCAGAGCAAAAUCUUGAACUUAUGACUGGCUGCUGUAACCUCUUGCUUGCACAGGUGCCUGGAACAUCAAAGCAGUGGUGUGGAUCAUGGGUUGCAGGGACAUCUGUCAAGGGGUUCACAGAGGCAGCAUCUGGGCGUAGAAAUCGGGGAUUCCCAUCUCAGGACACAGGCCACACGAUCAGGUGUGCUUCACUACCUGGCUAAUGUGGUAGAUUUGAGGAGGAGGAAGGCAAUGAUGGGCAGGGUGCAAGGCAGCAGCCAGAUGCACCAUGACUUUCAGAUGCUACACACACACACUUCUGGAACAAAAGUUUUGGUUUGGUGUGGGACCUGACUGGAUGAGUGGACAGUCUGACAUAUUUGGUGAUGCUAGGGCAAGGAGGGAGCAGUGGAUGAGUUGGUGUCUGGAAGGGAUAGUGCAGCAAACAUGGGCCCUGCAUAUUAUUAAAAGUAAUGUGUACAACAACUGUAAGUGCAAGGCCCUGCAUAUUAUUAAGUAAUGUGUGCAACAACUGUAAGUGCAAGACAGAAGUGAGCUGUAACAAAUGGAUAUUUACUCCACUGUAAUGAAUUUUCUUCUAGAAAGUGACUUUUCCUUAACCAUCAAAACAUGCCUUAAAAAUUCUAGAUUGAAAAAAAAUCAUAACCACCCAACAGUAAUACCCUAGGAUGUUUCUAGCUAAGAGAGUCACGUUAUCAGGCAAGUGCUCUUCAGUUUCUGAAUCACACACUCUAUGUAUGGGGUUGUGGGAUAUCGGAUUCCCAAUCUAAGAUUAUGAGAUUAUGUCUGGGAAUUAUGACUCUUCUACCUCACAGUUACCUGAUGUUGGAGCUUGCAGGAAUUCAUAGGUCACCUGUGUUAGACCUUUAAUGAAAUCCAUACUAGUUGGUGACAUUCCCAAUUAAAACUCCCACUGACAUGAGUGUCACAUUGCACAAAUUGGCAACUUGCCCCUUCUUAGUCUGAAAAAGUCUGUCAGGAGAAAGUAACUAAAUGGCAAGUUAGGUUAGCUCCUCUUAUGUUUUUGAAAGCUUGGAAUAAAGACUCAUUGUUUGACAUAUUGACAUAAGAGAAAGUUAUCAUCUAUCUGUUGUGACUGCUCCUUGCUUUGGCUAACAAAAUGGCUGUGUUUGUUUUAAACAAAGUGUUCUACUGAGGUGAUGUGCUCUUCCUGGAAAAUAUACAGACCACAUUUACAUAGUAUGAGUGAACAUAAGAACAUAAGAACAUAAGAAAUAAGGGAAGCUGCAAGAAGCGACCAGGCUUACACGUGGCAGUCCCUGUAUGAAACACACCUACCUAUUUCCAUCUGUUAUCCCCAUCCAUAAACUUGUCUAAUCUUCUCUUAAAGCUCUCUAGUGUCCUAGCACUAACUACAUGAUUACUGAGUCCGUUCCACUCAUCUACCACUCUAUUUGAGAACCAAUUUUUUCCUAUCUCCUUCCUAAACCUAAAUUUUUUAAGCUUGAACCCGUUAUUUCUUGUUCUACCCUGGUUGCUGAUCCUAAGAAUUUUGCUUACAUUUCCCUUGUUAUAACCCUUAUACCACUUAAAGACUUAAAGAGUGUUAGAGUUUCACUAGAAUACUGAAAUAAAGAGAAAAUAAGCCAAAUAACUAUUGCAUUGGUAAAGAAAUCGAGUGAUGAGGGACACACCACAAACAUGGUUGUGGAGCUGCCCCAAAAUGUUUUUUCUUUAGUUGUUUAGCUGUAAGAUGAGGAUAUACCUUUAACUAUCUCCUGAUAGUUAAACACCUGAUAAGGCAUUGUUAAACAUUUUGGGGCAACCCACCAAACCAUGUUUGUAGCAAGGCACAUCCUUGCGUUCUCUUCACUCCAUUUGUUCACACUAAUGCACUUUAUCUUUUCACUGGCAAUAGUUAUACUGCUUAUUUUGUCUGUGUUUCACCAUUCUAGUGAAACUAACACUCGUACUAUGUAAUCACAGCUUGUGUAUUUUCCAGGCAUCACACAUCACCUCAGUUGAACACUUUGUUUAAAACAAACACAGCUGAUUUGUUAGCCAAAGCAAGGAGUGGUCACAACAGAUAACUUUCACUUGUCAGAGUGUCAAACAUCUAAUUUGCCAUGUAUUUAUUUUCCCUCUGCAGAUUUUUUCAGACUUAGAAGGAGCAAGCUGCCAGUUUGUGUAAUGUGACACUCACAUCACCAGUUCUAAUCAUGAAUGUUGCUGACUGUAUUUUACAAUUUUUAAAACAUUUUCCAGAUAGCCCCCAGUUAAUUUUACUUUGUAGAAAUGAAUCUUGCCACAAAACCUUGAGUGUUGCCAGGUUAACUUAUGAUGCAUCUCUAUACAAUGAAAAAAAUAUUAUUAUAUACAAGUUAGUGCACAAACUUCCAAGACCAUUGCUGAUUUUACAUUACUGAUAAAUUUCAGAUGAAAUUUUCAAAGUAAAUCUUAUAUAAUUUCUUUGUAAGGAGAUCUAUCUAAAUUACUAAAACACAAAUCCUGCUGCCUGUGGUGGGCUGUUGCUGCUAUACAGCUCAAGAGUACUUGUGUGGCAGGAUUGAACUGUAUUUUUGAAACUUUCCACGUCUAACAAUCUAUUGAAUAAAAAUUUUAUAUGUACCAUGAAA